CACUCCUGCGGGAGGCAGCAGUGGGGAAUUUUGGACAAUGGGCGAAAGCCUGAUCCAGCAAUGCCGCGUGUGUGAAGAAGGCCUUCGGGUUGUAAAGCACUUUUGUCCGGAAAGAAAUCCUUGGCUCUAAUACAGUCGGGGGAUGACGGUACCGGAAGAAUAAGCACCGGCUAACUACGUGCCAGCAGCCGCGGUAAUACGUAGGGUGCGAGCGUUAAUCGGAAUUACUGGGCGUAAAGCGUGCGCAGGCGGUUUGCUAAGACCGAUGUGAAAUCCCCGGGCUCAACCUGGGAACUGCAUUGGUGACUGGCAGGCUAGAGUAUGGCAGAGGGGGGUAGAAUUCCACGUGUAGCAGUGAAAUGCGUAGAGAUGUGGAGGAAUACCGAUGGCGAAGGCAGCCCCCUGGGCCAAUACUGACGCUCAUGCACGAAAGCGUGGGGAGCAAACAGGAUUAGAAACCCCAGUAGUCCCAUGA
rnacentral:rRNA from 1 species